GCCAUACUGGAAAAAUGGCAUCUCACUCGUUUCCAGCACGAAGGGUUCCGGGUUCGAAUCCCGGGUAUGGCA
rnacentral:tRNA from 1 species